CUCUACCCAUGGAAGGAAUGAGGCGCUGUCGAUGUAGACACUGGGAUCCUGUAUCUUCCCAACUCUCAGAAUCUCUAGAGGAAAUGUGGCUUCCACCUUGGACUUCUGAGCCCACCCAGAUCCAACCUUGGGCCCCAGGGGACAACCUAGGGAUGGAGUGAUUAGGGGGAAGGGGGAACAGACAGUAACCCUCAGGUCCCGAGGAAAUGUAGGGGAGCAGACAUGGCUCUUCGAUCUGCCUAAAGUGUCGGCUCCCAGAGCUUCUUGGUGGCAGUGCUGGCGCACGCGGAGGGAGCGACUCUUACCCGGAGGCUGCCGAGCUGGAGGCGGCGGUCGGCCCGAGCGGCUGCUGUAAUCCAUUAGGUGCUGCCCAGCUGCACUCUCCCCAAGCUGCAGGGACCCGCUCAUGUGGGAGAAGGAACCGCGUCGGAACCGCGCGGUUGCCACGCCGCCGAGCAGGCCCUCUGCUUGGAGCAGGCGGUGUGGCGCCGGCGGGGGGUUGGCGCCCUAGGCUCCUUUGGAGCUCCCCGCCGGGCUCCCCACCGGCUCCGAAGGAGGCAGCGGCGCAGACUGAACGAGCGGCGGUGGGCUAGGCCAGGCGCCGGGAGGGAGCCGAGGUCGCCGCGGACUCCGCAAUCCCGCAGCCGACGACUGGAGCCCACCUCUGCAGAGACAAAGAAGCUGCUCUGGUGAUCUCCCCCUGAUAGUAAAUGUCCUUGGCUGGCCUCCAGAAUUCUCAUGCGCAUGGCCAUCUCAGCUUCAGAACCUGACUGAAAGAGAUGCCCAAGGAUUCAGCAAACACUGGGAAAGCAGAGGAAACAGCAAGCUUGGAUAUGGAAUAGCAAUACCUUUUGCAUUUAAGAAUAAAACAGUAGGGUGGCGCCUGUGGCUCAAGGAGUAGGGUGCUUGUCCCAUAUACCCGGAGGUGGUGGGUUCAAACCCGGCCCCAGGCCAAAAAAAAAAAAAAAAAGAAUAAAACAAUAUUUUUAAAUGCACAAGCAAAUGGGGGCAAGUUGUUGGGGUCUCCCAAGCCCGGAACACUUUCCUGGUAUAUACAUAUGGAACUGAGCAAACAGUUUGCUCACUUACAAGAUUUUCUGAGAAAUAAUCUCAAUAGUCAAUUUGCUUCAUUGUUCUUUCCCUGUCUACUUAAAUACAAAUGGAACUUAAUGAUCCUCCUUUUUAGCUUGGGGAAUGUGGGCUGGGAAGAAACUCUUUGCUUUGAAAAAGCAGCCAUAUUUGAAUUUUUUCCCUGUGCAAAGGUAAGCGAUAUUCUGGGCUUUGUGGAACCUCACAAAACGGCACAUCUGAACUGACUUUUCUCUAGAAACCAUUGAGACCCACACCCUCUUUUGUUUCUGGUCCUUGCAAUCUGAGAGCCUAAAUCACCCCAAAGGCUUGGUUCUUUCCUUCAGUGUUAAGAGUGGAGAGUCCGAUUUUUCCCUAAAUCAUUUAUAGAAAUCUCUAAGCAAAUUGUCCUAGUACAGAGCCAAAAAGCUCUGCCUGGGUUUAUGCAAAUUUCUGCAGCAAAAAUGUUUACUUGAUGCCUCAGCGCUUGGAUGUUAACAGAUUUGAGCCAAUUAGAAGGGCAUCUCAUGCGCAAGUCAUUGCCAGUCUUUCUGCAUGAAAACACCAUGAUGGGGGAUGGAGAUGUCUAGUUAAUGUAAGAAGAAAGGUGGCCAAUGUGUGAUGUGUAAUUUCCCAAAGUCUUUAUUUGAAGACAAAUCUAUAUGUUUUUCCUAGCUACAGAAGGAAACGUGUAGUAUACCUACCUUUAUAAUUAACACUGUGUGUAAUCUAUGCAUCUGUACAAAUUCAUAUUCUCAAAUAUAACAAUUAUUGCAACAGAGACUUUAUCUGUAUGUGAACUAUGAUUUUACCACAGUGUAGAGGGCCCACUGGGAAAGAAGGUACAACACUUCCAGAACAGCAUAGUAUGCUGAAGAAAUGGCAUUUUUACUUCCCUUUUCUCCAUGAUUUCUACACCUGCCGUGCACUAGAUCCUUCACCUGAAAGUCUUGUCACAAUCAUUUAAAGGACUGUUAAAGGGAUAUUAGGGAAGCACCCUUGAGGAGGAGACAGGGAGUUAUUUGAAGGUACAGAGGAGUCCCUUAAAUCCAGGGCUGGAAUUUAGCUGCCACUGGUCUUUGGAUGGUUUGCAUUGGAGCCCUUUACAUCCUUGCUCUGCAGGAGGGAACAUUAGAAUCUCAGACAGAGCAAAACAUUCCCAAAUGUAGCACUCAAGUCUGCAGCUGUCUCCUGAAGUGCAAAUGUUUAAGUCCUGCUGGGCUGCCUGUGACUUAAAAUUGUCUUUCCUGGCUCAGAUCAGCGAAUGUCACAGCCAUGGCCUCUUCGCAGGGUGGAAAGCCAGGCUUCCCUUCCAACCAGUUCCUGCCAACAUUUCUGCAGUAGUGAAACCAAAGGCACAGCCGUCAACACCUUGGGGGGUUAACCUGGCCAGAAACUAUAGGAUUCCAUUUUCUUACCUGUUCAAUAAAAGUCAUUCUGGGUAAUUAAAAUGUGCCUCUUUGAAAAUGACUGUGGCUAGAAAAAGCAGAGAGCUCUUCAAUGUCUACUCAAUAAAGAUAAUUUCUCUUUUUCAGGGAUAAAUUUUACUUAACUGGAAUUUCUCCUCUUUUCUCCUUCUCCCGUUCCUCCUCCCU